rnacentral:rRNA from 1 species
GUUUCUAUCUAUGAAGUGCUUUCUUCCAGUACGAAAGGAUCGAAGAAAGAAGGCCCAUGCUUAAAGUAAACCUUACCCCCACCUGAUGAAAACAGCUCAACUAGGAAAAAGGCGCCCAAAUCACCAGCCAAAGAUAAUGCU